UAAGCGACUAAGCGUACACGGUGGAUGCCCUGGCAGUCAGAGGCGAUGAAGGACGUGCUAAUCUGCGAUAAGCGUCGGUAAGGUGAUAUGAACCGUUAUAACCGGCGAUUUCCGAAUGGGGAAACCCAGUGUGAUUCGUCACACUAUCAUUAACUGAAUCCAUAGGUUAAUGAGGCGAACCGGGGGAACUGAAACAUCUAAGUACCCCGAGGAAAAGAAAUCAACCGAGAUUCCCCCAGUAGCGGCGAGCGAACGGGGAGCAGCCCAGAGCCUGAAUCAGUGUGUGUGUUAGUGGAAGCGUCUGGAAAGGCGCGCGAUACAGGGUGACAGCCCCGUACACAAAAAUGCACAUGCUGUGAGCUCGAUGAGUAGGGCGGGACACGUGGUAUCCUGUCUGAAUAUGGGGGGACCAUCCUCCAAGGCUAAAUACUCCUGACUGACCGAUAGUGAACCAGUACCGUGAGGGAAAGGCGAAAAGAACCCCGGCGAGGGGAGUGAAAAAGAACCUGAAACCGUGUACGUACAAGCAGUGGGAGCACGCUUAGGCGUGUGACUGCGUACCUUUUGUAUAAUGGGUCAGCGACUUAUAUUCUGUAGCAAGGUUAACCGAAUAGGGGAGCCGAAGGGAAACCGAGUCUUAACUGGGCGUUAAGUUGCAGGGUAUAGACCCGAAACCCGGUGAUCUAGCCAUGGGCAGGUUGAAGGUUGGGUAACACUAACUGGAGGACCGAACCGACUAAUGUUGAAAAAUUAGCGGAUGACUUGUGGCUGGGGGUGAAAGGCCAAUCAAACCGGGAGAUAGCUGGUUCUCCCCGAAAGCUAUUUAGGUAGCGCCUCGUGAAUUCAUCUCCGGGGGUAGAGCACUGUUUCGGCAAGGGGGUCAUCCCGACUUACCAACCCGAUGCAAACUGCGAAUACCGGAGAAUGUUAUCACGGGAGACACACGGCGGGUGCUAACGUCCGUCGUGAAGAGGGAAACAACCCAGACCGCCAGCUAAGGUCCCAAAGUCAUGGUUAAGUGGGAAACGAUGUGGGAAGGCCCAGACAGCCAGGAUGUUGGCUUAGAAGCAGCCAUCAUUUAAAGAAAGCGUAAUAGCUCACUGGUCGAGUCGGCCUGCGCGGAAGAUGUAACGGGGCUAAACCAUGCACCGAAGCUGCGGCAGCGACGCUUAUGCGUUGUUGGGUAGGGGAGCGUUCUGUAAGCCUGUGAAGGUGUACUGUGAGGUAUGCUGGAGGUAUCAGAAGUGCGAAUGCUGACAUAAGUAACGAUAAAGCGGGUGAAAAGCCCGCUCGCCGGAAGACCAAGGGUUCCUGUCCAACGUUAAUCGGGGCAGGGUGAGUCGACCCCUAAGGCGAGGCCGAAAGGCGUAGUCGAUGGGAAACAGGUUAAUAUUCCUGUACUUGGUGUUACUGCGAAGGGGGGACGGAGAAGGCUAUGUUGGCCGGGCGACGGUUGUCCCGGUUUAAGCGUGUAGGCUGGUUUUCCAGGCAAAUCCGGAAAAUCAAGGCUGAGGCGUGAUGACGAGGCACUACGGUGCUGAAGCAACAAAUGCCCUGCUUCCAGGAAAAGCCUCUAAGCAUCAGGUAACAUCAAAUCGUACCCCAAACCGACACAGGUGGUCAGGUAGAGAAUACCAAGGCGCUUGAGAGAACUCGGGUGAAGGAACUAGGCAAAAUGGUGCCGUAACUUCGGGAGAAGGCACGCUGAUAUGUAGGUGAAGUCCCUCGCGGAUGGAGCUGAAAUCAGUCGAAGAUACCAGCUGGCUGCAACUGUUUAUUAAAAACACAGCACUGUGCAAACACGAAAGUGGACGUAUACGGUGUGACGCCUGCCCGGUGCCGGAAGGUUAAUUGAUGGGGUUAGCGCAAGCGAAGCUCUUGAUCGAAGCCCCGGUAAACGGCGGCCGUAACUAUAACGGUCCUAAGGUAGCGAAAUUCCUUGUCGGGUAAGUUCCGACCUGCACGAAUGGCGUAAUGAUGGCCAGGCUGUCUCCACCCGAGACUCAGUGAAAUUGAACUCGCUGUGAAGAUGCAGUGUACCCGCGGCAAGACGGAAAGACCCCGUGAACCUUUACUAUAGCUUGACACUGAACAUUGAGCCUUGAUGUGUAGGAUAGGUGGGAGGCUUUGAAGUGUGGACGCCAGUCUGCAUGGAGCCGACCUUGAAAUACCACCCUUUAAUGUUUGAUGUUCUAACGUGGACCCGUAAUCCGGGUUGCGGACAGUGUCUGGUGGGUAGUUUGACUGGGGCGGUCUCCUCCUAAAGAGUAACGGAGGAGCACGAAGGUUGGCUAAUCCUGGUCGGACAUCAGGAGGUUAGUGCAAUGGCAUAAGCCAGCUUGACUGCGAGCGUGACGGCGCGAGCAGGUGCGAAAGCAGGUCAUAGUGAUCCGGUGGUUCUGAAUGGAAGGGCCAUCGCUCAACGGAUAAAAGGUACUCCGGGGAUAACAGGCUGAUACCGCCCAAGAGUUCAUAUCGACGGCGGUGUUUGGCACCUCGAUGUCGGCUCAUCACAUCCUGGGGCUGAAGUAGGUCCCAAGGGUAUGGCUGUUCGCCAUUUAAAGUGGUACGCGAGCUGGGUUUAGAACGUCGUGAGACAGUUCGGUCCCUAUCUGCCGUGGGCGCUGGAGAACUGAGGGGGGCUGCUCCUAGUACGAGAGGACCGGAGUGGACGCAUCACUGGUGUUCGGGUUGUCAUGCCAAUGGCACUGCCCGGUAGCUAAAUGCGGAAGAGAUAAGUGCUGAAAGCAUCUAAGCACGAAACUUGCCCCGAGAUGAGUUCUCCCUGACUCCUUGAGAGUCCUGAAGGAACGUUGAAGACGACGACGUUGAUAGGCCGGGUGUGUAAGCGCAGCGAUGCGUUGAGCUAACCGGUACUAAUGAACCGUGAGGCUUAACCU
rnacentral:rRNA from 1 species